rnacentral:sRNA from 1 species
GCUGGGUGCAGUGGCGCACACUUGUAAUCCCAGUGGCUUGGGAGGCUGAGGCAGGAGGAUAGCAAAUUCAAUGCCAGCUUCAGCAACUGUGAGGCUCUAAGCAACUCAGUAAGACCCUGUCUCUA